UUAAAGGGUGGGGUUUAGGAUUUAGGGUUUAGGGUUUAGGGUUUAGGAUUUAGGGUUUAUAUUUUAGGGUUUAGGGUUUAGGGUUUAGAGUUUUAGGAUUUAGGGUUUAGAGUUUAGGGUUUAGGGUUUACGGUUUACGGUUUACGGUUUACGGUUUAGGGUUUAGAGUUUAGGGUUUAGGGUUUAGAGUUUAGGGUUUGGAGUUUAGAGUUGAGAAAUG
rnacentral:lncRNA from 1 species